AACAUGACUUUACACUUAUAGUAAGGCUACAUAUGGCAUUGCUAGAGGUAUUCUGAUUAAUUUUAUUUCCUACAGUUCAUGUUUUAGAAGGAAAAGUGUACCCUGUAUUGUGCAUGUAAAAGUCUACAGUGCUGCAUAACUGAGUAUGUUCCUGACUGAAGACAAUGUCUGUUUUGGCUUGACAUCAAUGAAAAACAAAUUCUCCGCUUACAAUGUUCUUACCGAACGACUGCAAGGAUCUUCCCCCUCGAUCAGCUUCUGCUUCUUUGUGUUGCAACCCUUGCUUCUCCCACACUCCUCACAUUCUGCUGCCAGCCCUGUGUCCAUACCGUGUUAUAACCUCUAGCCCUGAAACUCUGUGACAGGAUGCCAGACAGGGCAUCUGGGAUAAUACAGGCUAAGCUCAAACCCUCUGUGUAAAUUUAGAUGGCACCGAACUUCUGAUAGCCCUGCUUCUACCUCCUCCACAAGCAUGUGCCACCAUGCCUGGCUAAAAUUCAGACGCUCGACUCUAGCCUAGUUACCUUCCUCUGUGUCAAAGUGAGAACAGCGUGGGAAGGGCUUCAGAAUACCUGUGAAGACACAUUCCAUCUAUUCUCAAAGCCUUGGCCUCACGAUUGAGAAGAAACGGAAGUCUCCUUUAUUGAUCCCUUUAUUCACUCCCUCUGGUUAGAUGACCUUCCAACAGUGAUGACUUACAGAUGCCCUAUGAGAUGGAUCUUAUUACCCCAGCUCUUCAGAGCCAGAGAAGAAAGCUGAAGAAUAUGAACUAGGAAGGCAGGAAUCAAGGUCUGACCCCACAUCAGUUUGAUCUGAAGGCUGCGUCCUUUCAAGGAUCAGAAGCCUAUGCGUAAAGCUCAUGCCUUUGGAAACAAAUUGCCACGGAAAUGCAAGAAGAAAUGAACGGUUUCCGAGUGCAAAACGCUUGGCCUGUGCUAGUAAAAGUAAAGAGGUCCCCACCCUUACCUUAUGCUCUUUCGUGGAUGUAAUUCAAGCUCAUAAAGUUUUCUUAGCGGGUCUAAGAAGCCUUUCCCUUUGCCUGCAGGCUGGAGAAGCAAUCUCCUAGUGCUCACCAUAGUUUCAUUCCAACGGUCAGCUGUAACUUCAGGUUCUUAUGGGUAUAACAGAGCAAGGUAUUUUGCC